AACGAACGCUGGCGGCAUGCCUAACACAUGCAAGUCGAACGAGACCUUCGGGUCUAGUGGCGCACGGGUGCGUAACGCGUGGGAACCUGCCCUUAGGUUCGGAAUAACUCCCCGAAAGGGGUGCUAAUACCGGAUAAUGUCUUCGGACCAAAGAUUUAUCGCCUUUGGAUGGGCCCGCGUUGGAUUAGCUAGUUGGUAGGGUAAAAGCCUACCAAGGCGACGAUCCAUAGCUGGUCUGAGAGGAUGAUCAGCCACACUGGGACUGAGACACGGCCCAGACUCCUACGGGAGGCAGCAGUGGGGAAUGUUGGACGAUGGGCGAGAGCCUGAUCCAGCAAUGCCGCGUGAGUGAUGAAGGCCUUAGGGUUGUAAAGCUCUUUUACCCGGGAUGAUAAUGACAGUACCGGGAGAAUAAGCGCCGGCUAACUCCGUG
rnacentral:rRNA from 1 species